UCUUCUCCAAACACCCUCCAGCGUAACUUCUGGAUCUUCUUCAUGGAGAACACCACAAAACCCUAGAACUUAGCUCCAUCUCCAUAGCUCACGCCGGACUCUCCGCUCCCCACCAGCGGCAAACACGUUGUUACACCCAAACAACGACCAAAACCUGAAGCAGAUGAUCCACCGUUUUGGACCUGGACUUCAUCUUCUCCAUCGAGAACUAAUAACGGCUAAACAAAAGCCAUCCAGUGGGUCUCUACACACACACAAGAAUACACAUACUUUGAGAUUUCCUUGAUGUAAAACUCACAAGACAACAACAAAAUAGAGCGCAUAAAACAUUCUGUUUCAUCUCCCUAGUUUCAGAUUUUCAUUUCUCCAUGAACGGAGUUUGCUUGAGCGAUUGAAGUUCACGACGAGGCCCUUUGUUGAGUGUCGUCAUGGUUCCGGCGAGUCCCGAGUUUUCCGAUUGAAUAUCGAUGAUCGUUUCUAUUGGUUUUGGCCGAAGCCCGUUCGAGGUUGUCGCAUCGAGGUCUCCGGUGUUGAUUCUAUCGCAGCUGAAUGAGCACGAAUCAAAAUUUGUCAAUAAUUCAUGAACAAGAUCCCUUUGGAGCUGCACAUGUGGUGGAACGAUCUCGGUAAAUCAGGGCAAGAUACGGUCAAUCUAUACUUGGAAGGCCUCACCGGGUUGCUGAAGAUUAAUUCUAGGGGAGACAUCGUAAAUGCAUUGGUUACAUUCUGGGACCCGGCCCACAAUGUAUUUCAUUUCUCAAACUUUGAACUUACUCCAACCUUGGAAAAAAUAGCCAGAUAUAUUGGUGGUCCCAAAGUUCCUCUGAGACACCAGUACUUGAUUGCUCCAAGGGUCGUAGUCGUACACAGGUUCCUAGAUUCUUUAAAGAUAAGCAGGGGGUCCACAACCCAGAUCUGGCAGCUGGUUUUUGCACUCUGCAGUUUAUAUACAAGAGAUAUGGUCAUAUAAGGGGGUUUAACAAUCCAAAAAACAAAAUCUGCAGCAAAGGAAGCCACCUCAAAUACAGGUGUUUCACAUUUAUGGUAGUUUUCUUGGGCCUAUUGGUGUUUCCCCGGAAAGAUGAGAUUAUCGAUAUACGGAUAGCUGGGGUUGUCAGCACUUUGCUUACUCAAGCUAAAGGUACCCUCGCACCCAUGAUAGUGUCUGAGAUCUUCCGCGCCCUCACAACUUACAAAGUCGGAGGAGACUUCUUUGAAGGGUGCAACUUGUUAUUACAAAUGUGGAUGAUUGAACAUCUAUGUCAUCGUCCUCAAUUCAUGAGUUAUGGGUUGACAGAGAAGAGCUGCAUAGAGGAAUUCCAUACAAGAGUUGAUGGGUUUAGCUUACCAUAGGGGGUCACAGAAUGGGUAUCACAUCUCCGUUCCAUCAGUGCAAGUCAAAUAGAGUGGACGUUUGGGUGGCUUCUCGUAGAUGAGAUCAUAUACAUGCCAGCUACCGGGCCUCACUUCCUUUUGAUGGGUCUCAGGAGUAUCCAGCCUUAUGCCCCAUAUCAGGUUUUGAGACAGUUAGGGAGAUGUCAAAUAGUUCCCAGGAAUGAAGACAUUAGUCGCCAUUUGGUCGAGAUUGGUCCCGAUGGUCAAUUUCAUGAAGCAGUGCUUCGCCAGAUUUGGAGCGAGUGUCAGUACUUGACGACAAACACUCGAGUAUGUGAUCUUCCAGAGGUGAAGUUGCACCAGAAUACCUUUCUUGGUAUAAAAGGGAAGUUGAGUUUAGAAGGCCGGCCAAAAGGCCCCAUCUUCAAGAAUUUAUCGAGACGUCACAAGAGCAAGGGGACUGGAUGGCCAAAGAAAAUGAGUACCGAGCCACCAUAAGAAGGCUGGAAAAGCAAGUCAUGGACCUUCAGUUUGAGAAUGGGUUGCAAGCCGUCGCAGAUGAAGGUGAGAAGAAGAAGUUAACUCAGGAAAAUGAAGCCCUCAAAGUUCAAAUUCAGAAAAUGAGAAUAGCUGCUAGAAACCCGGAAAGAAGCCCAGCGGAUGAAAGGCUUAUAAGCAGUCUGAAAAAGAAAGUCUUUGAGUGUCAAGAUGACCUGGAAAAGUCUGAGGCCAGCCUAGCAAAAGUCUGGGCACGAUGGGCAAAGAAGGCGGAAGAGCGAGCACAGUUUGUGCAAUAAAUGAAAAGAAAGUAUGAAGGGACAAUUGCCAGCCUGAAGAGAAAAAUGACUACCCUCGAGAAUGAGGCAGCCAAGCAGGCCAAGGACUUUAAAGCUGACAGGGAACACUGUUAUGAUUUGAUGGCUCAGAUGGAGGAAGAAAUACAACAACUGCAAAAUCAACGUCUCCACGACACUUAGGUGUUAGAAGCCCGGAAUUAGCAGGUCGGGCGUCUGCUUUAGGAAAAGGGUAGAAUCCAAGAGAGGAUCAGAACCAUCGCCGACUACAUUGUUGUAAAAUGCCAAGCAUGUGAGGAUAUGACUCGCACCACCUUCUUCGUGGCAGUGAUGACAUUUGUCCGACAGAUAAUGAGAGACUUGGAAAGGCUUCAAAGGGAUCUUGCAUAUAGGUCCGUGGCGAGACCGAAUGAUGUCCCACGGGCCCUAGGAGCAUUUGAGGCAUUAAUGUAUUCAUGAUUUUCAUUGGAGUCUGUUAGUCUGUUUGCGAGUCUGUACUUUCUUUUGUUGGAGUCUAUUAGUUGGUUUUCAAAUUUGUUAUUUUCACCUUUCUGUCAGAGUCUAUCGGUCUUGUUUUGAGUCAGGGUCUGUCAAUUUCCCUUAUCGAGUCUAUUAGUUUUUAGGACGAGUCGUUGUAAUCAAAACUGUUUGUUUGAAAAUCCCAAAAUGUGUUUAUCAUUUA